ACAAGCAGGCUGUCAAUCAACGCACCUGGGGAAGCGCUCUGACAAACUGAGCGGCUGAAUUCACGCACGGCGAGUGGGGUUCGAGCGUGAACGCGUGUUUACUGUUGCUGCUCCAGACGACACAAUAACGAGUUGGAGCAGCUAAAAUGCCAAAGGAGCAGCUGAGCCGCAGCCUGGCAAACGGUGAAUGUCACCCCCACGCAAGCAGACGCCACGGAGGAUUCACGGAGUGGGCGAGCUACGAGCACGUGGCGUGGGCCGUUUGAUUCUUUCUACUGGCUGCACACAUCUCAUGCCUGAACUCACAGAGGACGCGGGGGGAGCGGGGUGUGACCAGCAGCCCCGGCUGCAACGCUAAUGCAUGUGAACUUGUGGAGUCACAUCCAAUGGGCGCCCUGGUAACGCUGACUGCAGCUGAGGGCCUGGUGCAAGUUACACAAGCUGAAACCGUGACGGGGGAAAAUCGAUGGGAGGUGGAGCUCGUCGGCGUCAUGAUGAGCGUUAAAGGCCACUAGAAAGAACUAUCAGGGACUUGAACCUUUUAUUGCCAUUCGUACUCCACCUGUUUAUUGUUUACUUGAACUUUAAGUGCAACAGAAAAAUUAUGGAUUCCUCGUUCCCAGGAGAGAUCGCUGAUUUUGCCUGUAAAGCCUCGGAUGCUGUAAUGGAUAGGAAGCAUGAGGGUAUAAAGACAUUCAACCUGCUGUGGGUCCCUUAAAGUGUCGGAGUUCAGGCACUUCUCCCUGUGGAAGGAAUCCAGACGCCUCCGGACUCCAUCGCAGGUGUCUGGGGGCGUCCAGCUGGAAGGAGACUCUGCGGCAGAUGCACGAUCUGCUGAAGAGGUGAGGUCUCUCAUUUGACCUGGGAAGUCGCACCAGAGGAGGCGCUGGAGAACGGGGCUGAGGAGAGGGAGGCCUGCGUCACGUGCUCAACCUGCCGGCGCUGCCACAAAUGAGUAAAAGUGGCAUCAAAUCGACAGAUCGGUGGAUGGAUUCCUAUUUGUUUGAUUAAAUCUAAAUAAACUCUUUCUCACAUGAAUAGGACUUUGCAUGAACUUUUCACCGUUAACAACAGACCAACAGACCUUUUCUUGAAUAGAUAGUGACGUGUCUUUGAGUCUAUGCAGGUUCACACCUGCCAAAGUCAAAGCAAAUGUUCACGAUGCAGAAACGUUGAAACAAAGGCGCACGGCGCCCUGGGCUGCAGGUGCGACUCUGAGCCGGAGCAGCGCUCCUCAGACUUCCAGGAGAUAGAUGUGUCCUGCCACUGUAUAAAUUGGCUGUCGGAAGCAUUGUGCAAGGGAACGCGGCAAUGGCUGGGAAGUUGGAGGCGGAGUGACAAUGAUGGAGAGAUGAAGAGGAGGGGAGGAUGGGCCGAGUCAAAAGGGAGGACGGGGGCAGCUGAAAAUUGGGAGAAGGCUGAGGUUGCUGUUAAAUGUCUCGUAGAUCGAGAGACAACUGUUUCAGAGGCAAGAAAUGAAGAUAAAGCUGGUUUAGAUAGAAAAAGAAAACCGCAGAUGGAGUUGUCAGAUUUCUGCUAUAGAGUAAAUCAGCAGCCGUGAUCGUCGCAUUCAUAGUGACGGAUUUUGCUUUUAGUGUCCACUUGUCCCCAGCAUAUCUGCUGAACCACCACUGAUCAUGAAGCCAACACCACGCUCACAGCUCAACAGCGACUGGCUCCAAUUCAGGACAAUAAAGGAAAGAGCCACCCUGUAGAAUAGCAAUUAUUCAAAGGCUCUGGCAGGUCUGAUAAAACCAAUGAAACCUUAUGACUUGGCAAACUGGCUUCAUGGUUAAUGCAGGACUUCCUGGAUGGAGGUGGAAGUUAUUGCAUCGCUCUUCCCCUGCGGGAGAGUAAAGUGAUUUGGCCAAACUCCGCAGAAGCCUGCCAUAUAGAGGAAGAGAUAGUAGCUGUCUGAUGCAGGAUGUAUGAGAUGAGGAAAUGAGAGCGACGUGGUCCAGGGAGCGGCUGAUGACUAGGACGCCAACGACAGUAUCAGCAGGAUGAGGCCAAGAGCGGCGGGUGGAAGAAGGAUGCCUCGGUUGCAGCCCUUUCCUGCGCCUGUUGCUGGCAGCGCCAUCUUAUCGGACUGUUUCACAGGAUCUCUGGUUAUAGACACAAGAUAAAUUGGUAUCUCUGUAAUUGCCUCGACCUUUAACCUUGCGGUGCCACGUGGUCCUGGGAGGUCCGGCGUUGGGCCUCGGUAAUGGCCUACCUGAGGGCGGGCGGCGCCGCGCAGAGUGAUGGCGACCCGCGCUCGCCCGCGAGCCACUCACCACCUCAUCGAUGCAAUUAUUGCACCAGGCAUGGCUGACCUGAAGCCCCCAGCAGAGGAGGACCCCAACGCCCGCCCGGUUCUGCUGCCGCUGGGCCCAACCACCAGCUAGCCAGCAGCGGCUGUACAAACAUGAAGCUAAUUGCUAAAUGCGCCACACUGAAAUGGAUACGGGGCAUGUUUUGCGUACAGGUUGUUGUGAUGCAUUAAUUAUUGUUGACGCCCGUGUUAACACCCCACCAGUGAAAAAUGAGAUGACAAAAGAGGUAAUUUCCUCUUUCUCUCAUGAUGAUGUCUAAUUGUGCGCGCUACAGCGGGGUGAGGGUGGGGGAGGGUCUGCGCGAGGCUUCUCCCUCCCCAUUCCUUCUGACAAAGACUUUAAUUCACUGUAAUUAUACAGAUGGAUUGAAAUAUACAGCAAGACAGGGAAUCACUCCAAUUAUGCAGAGUUGAUUAAAACCUGGACCCCAUGCCGGCGUGCUGCAGGAGCGUGGACCGCGUCGAGCAAGAAAGGCGGACGUUUGCACCGUGGAGGAGCAGGGAUCCGCCGUAAAACACAAGCGCUUCGCUCGUUACAGCUUGACGCUCGGAUGCACGGGGAUGCGUUCGAGCUCCAGACGCGCAGCGGAGACGCCCCAGUGCCUUCAUUUACAGCGCGACCGCGACUCGGACUCGCCGAACACGCCACGGUUGGUGAUGGACAACGAAGACAAAAGGAGGGAGAAAAAGCUCACAAACAUGGAGGAACGGAGUGAAAAGGGCAAGACAUUUGUCACCCUCUUCUGCAGGACCACAGGAAGAAAGAACAAUAUCAUUAAUCUCCUGACAUUUCAAUAUUGUAUUAACCUUUCUAGCAGGAUUCUCUGGGCUCAUUAGUCUUUUUUCGAGGGGGAGAAAAAUAAUAAUCGAUAGAACAAGCUCCGGACACGAUCUAGAAAUACACUGCAGUCAAAUAACAUAGAACCUUCAGCCACUCGUGUGACGAUGCUUUGUCUUUAGCAGCUUCUUCGUUACCUACUCGCACGCGAAGGCAUCCGAUAAAACAAUGAGCGCAUGUGAAUGGGUGUAGCUGCUGCCUUCAAGUCGGUCACGGUUAUAAAGCGCAAUAACGGCCUGACUGUAAAACCACAGCUUAAGACGGGAACACGAGCACGUCAGCCGUCUUAUGUGAAGGCUGGAAAAUCGCCCCAAGGCCACGCAGCGCGUGAUGAACCCACGCCUCAUCUUCUGCUCAGUCAGUCAACAGCCCGUCGGCCUCAGAGGCAGAAACGGCUCCGCCGCCGCCAUCCUCCCUCCUUCGCAACCCUUGUCCUCACCCCUCAUCUAUCAAUGCCAUUCAAAUCAGCGGCGCUCUGUUAUUUGAAUAAGAAAACGGUCUAAUUUGUCCCUUUUAUUCGUUGCCCUCGCUGAACAUGCAGCAGCACCGGGCCUUUUGUCCGUCACCGUUUACGUUUGGCCUCUGGUUGGUGGUGUCAGCGUUUUGCUGAGCGUGCGGUUAUCGGAACGUGCUGCGUGUGAUUGUGUGUUUGCUCUGGGCAUUCUUCAGCAUAGAAUUAGAAUUAGCUCCUGUAAUGUGUUUGAUUAGCCACAGGACUAGUAGACCUGCACUUCUGCUUCUGUUUGAAAGGAUGAUGAGUGCUGGUGUGAUAUAUAGCAGUAUGGAAUGGACUCUACAACCACAUACUAGACUAUGACCACGGUGUGUUUUUUUUUACUGGACUGGACACGGGUGGGACCACAUACUAUACUAUGACUUGUUAUUCUGCCAUUACGUAUUGUUUUUACCACAUACUGUAUACUAUGACGUGUAUGUACGUGUGUUUUUAUACACCAAGUUUUUUUUUAUCACAUACUAUACUAUAGUGUUUUUUUUUUUUCAACAUACUAUUUGUUUUUUUGUUUUUUUUUUACCUCGUACUAUACUAAAGUUUUUUUUUGUUUUGUUUUAACCACAUACUAUGCCGUGUUUUUGUUUUAUCGCAAACUAUACUGUACUAUACUAAACUAUACUUGUGGUGGUGGUGGUGGUGGUGUUGUUGUUUUUUUUCUGUACCUCAUACUACACUAUGACAUUUUUUUUUACCACGUACUAUACUAGGCUGUGUUUUUUUUUUUUUUACCACAUACUAUGGCGUGUUUUUUUAUUUUUUUAACCUCAUACUAUACUAUGGCGUGUUUUUUUUUACCGCGUACUAUACUAUGACGUUUUGGUUUUUUUUUUGUUUUUUUUUUACCGCAUACUAUGGCGGGUUUUUGUUUUACUGCAAACUUUACUAUGGUGGUGGUGGUGUUGUUGUUUGUUGUUAUUGUUGUUUUUUACCACAUACUAUACUAUGACGUGUUUUUUUUUACCUCAUACUAUACUAUGAUGAUUUUUUUUUUUACCACAUACUAUACUUUGCCGUGCCGUGUUUUUUACCUCGUACUAUAGGUUUUUUUUUUUUUUUUAACCACAUACUAUGCUGUGUUUUUGUUUCAUCGCAAACUAUACUAUUGUGGUGGUGGUGUUGUUGUUGUUGUUUUACUGUACCUCAUACUACACUGACAUUUUUUUUACCACAUACUCCAUAUGACACGUUGAUUUACCACAUACAUGUACUAUACUAUGGCGUGUUUUUUUUUUUUUUUUAACCUCAUACUAUACUAUGACAUGUUUUUUUUUUUACCGUGUACUAAACUAUGGCAUGUGUUUUUACCGCAUACUAUGGCGUGUUUUUUUUCCCCACAUACUCCAUUUGAUGUGUUGUUUUAUCACAUACUAUACUAUGGCGUUUUUUUUUUUUUCACCACAUACUAUGCCGUGUUUUUGUUUUAUCUCAAACUAUACUGUACUAUACUAAACUAUACUUGUGGUGGUGGUGUUGUUGUUGUUUUUUUCUGUACCUCAUACUACACUAUGACAUUUUUUUUUACCAUGUACUAUACUAGGCCGUGUUUUUUUUUUUUUUUUUUUUUUUACUGCGUACUAUACUAUGUCGUGUUUUUUUUACCGCGUACUAUACUAUGACAUAUUUUUGUUUGUUUGUUUUUUUUUACCACAUACUAUGGCGUGUUUUUGUUUUACUGCAAACUAUACUAACGUGGUGGUGUUGUUGUUGUUGUUUGUUGUUAUUGUUUUUUACCACAUACUAUAACGUGUUUUAUUUUUUUUUAGCUCAUACUAUACUAAGACGUGUUUUUUUUACUUCAUACUAUACUAUGACGUAUUUUUUUUACCUCAUACUACAGUAUACUAUCACAUGUUUUUUGUUUUACCACAUACUAUACUUUGCCUUGCUACAUUUUUUUUACCGUGUUUUUUUAUACUAUGACGUUUUUUUUCCCCCUGAUACUAUGACGUGUUUUUUUUUUUUACUGUGUACUAUACUAUGACAUGUUUGUUUUUUUUUUUACCUUAUACUAUGACGUGUUUUUUGUUUUACCACAUACUAUACUUUGCCUUGCUGAAUUUUUUUUACCGUGUUGUUUUUAUACUAUGACGUUUGUUUUCCCCUGAUACUAUAUGACGUGUUUUUUUUUUUUUACUGCGUACUAUACUAUGACGUGUUGUUUUUUUUACUGCGUACUAUACUAUGACGUGUUGUUUUUACCGCGUACUAUACUAUGGCGUGUCUUUUUACCGCGUACUAUACAAUGACCCGUGUUUUUACCGCGUACUAUGGCGUGUUUUUUUUUUUUUACCACAUACUAUACAAUGGCUUUUUUUUGACCACAUACUAUACUAUGGCUUUUUUUUGACCACAUACUAUACUAUGGCUUUUUUUUGACCACAUACUAUACUAUGGCUUUUUUUGACCACAUACUCUACUUUGCCGUGCCGUGUUUUUUACCGCGUACUAUACUAUGACGUGUUUUUGUUUUACCGCUUUGGUGGUGGGGUUGUUGUUGUUUUUACCACUUACUAUACUAUAACGUGUUGGUUUUUCUUUUAAUAGCAUACUAUGGCGUGUUUUUGUUUUUUUGCAAAUUAUACUGUUUUUUUUUCAACCGCAUAAUAUGCUAAUAUUUUUAUUGCGUACUAUACUGAGUGUUUUUUUUAACCAUGUACUAUACUAUGUGCAUAUUUUUACUGCAUGUACGCACGUGUGUGUACAUUUAUACACGUCAUGUUUUUUUGUUGUUUUUUUUCCACAUACUAUACUAUGACGGGAUUUUUUACCAUAUACUAUACUGUGGCAUGUUUUUUGUUGUCAAAAAGCUUCCUAUUGUGCUAUUGUAAAAUUAGUAUUUGAUCAAUUUGAUUUGCGUGAAUUCGUGUUUGAGGACUUUGGCAUCCAAGUGCAGGUUAUCGCACUUGUUGACAAAUGCUGCCACAUUGUGUGAAAUUCAGAGUCGCCCAUCUUUUAAUUAGUACUAAAGUAGUAACUCCAAGUUCUGUACGCGUCAUUUUUUUUUAAGUCUAUCCUACUAGCCACAGGGCCUACAGCAGAAUUACUUAUGUUUGAUGAGGGCACUUGACUUAUUAGAAACAUUAAAUGUUAGAGGGUCAGUUUAAAACUACAAAGCAGGCACAGCGGAGGGAAGCGCUGAGGGCGGGAGGAUUCCUGUGGACGGCGGCGGGAGGCUAUAUUCCUCUGGGUUAAUUGCGCGGACCCCAUCGUCACUAAAUACGGAUUCUUAGAAUGACUGGCUAAGUAACAAAUGGAUGUACAAAUCACCCAGAUUACUCCACUUAUUACGGAAACUUGGACUUGGCUGGAUUCCACAUUCCCUCUCAGCACCUCUGGCAGUUGCCGUAUAUUUUACGGCAACUCUUCUCAUUUCAAUUUUCACAAGUUGAAACAAGCGUAAGUGUUUAACAUUGAUUAAAAACUACUUUUUGUAAUUAUGUGAAAUUGUGAUGAGUUGGUUGCUGAAAUCAUUAAACGUAAAUGAGUUUUGAUUGAAAGUCUGAAGAGCUGGCGUUUGACCUGCAGCUGUAGUGUAAAUAGGCGUGGAGAGGUGCCGGUAAUCCGCCUAAACACUGUGCACCUGCGAAGACGGCUUCCUCUGGCGUUCUCGCAAUGGCAGCGACAGUAAGAGGAGUCGUCAGACAGUGCACAGCUGUUCACUUAAUUACCUCCUAGUUUGGGAAGGAGGUUAAUGAAGCAGUUUGGCGAUCAAAAAUUACAGACAGGCUGAAUGUGCACAAAAGAAAUUAGUUUUUGGGUGCUGGGAAAAGCUUGAGAGCAACUAAGGUUUGAAUUAUUGAUUGUAAAAACUGAAUCACUGAUGGAAUGAAGCAGACAGGAAAAGGGAGGAAUUUUUUUAGCAUAUUCCUACAUUAGUCCACAUUGUGACUUUGGCAGAUUGAUAAAUUUGUGUCUGUAAAUGUACUUUCUUCAGACAGAUUUAAUAUUAGCGGUACCUCCCGAGCACACAGGUUGAGGUACUGUCGGCCAUGCAGGCUCAUAUUCAUGUCAUUAUGAGCUGGAAAACCCUGGCAGCCAAUGUUGCCGCCUAAUAUCUUUAAUCACCUGCAUCUCAUUGUGGGGCCGACACACCUCCACUCAUUAAAAAGAUAGAUGGAGACAGAAGGGUCUGCUCACCCGGGUUCCACAUUUGUUCUUUUUAGAAAGGUGCUUAUUAGGGAAUACCUGGGAGACGGAAGUGGGGGAAGGGAGCUCCAACGUUGAGGGAGGAGAAGGAGGGCACAGCUGUCGUAGGUUAACAAGUAUGAAAACCCUGCUAAAUGAUAAUGUUUCUAAUUGGUCUGUACACCAGUUUCUUUGUAUAUUUUGAUGGAUUUGCAUGAAGAGAUUGUUUUCCCUUCUGAAUAUAUGCACAUUCCAUUUAUAUAAAAUCACUUACCUUUGUGAAAUGUCAGAAAUGUCUUUUAGUAAAUGAGCCUACUGGACUCGGUCGCUUGUGCUAUUCUGAUGGUUUUCACGCUGAGGCAUGAAGUGGUCGGUCUUAUGAGGCGGCAGCGUUACUCAUUAACUUGUAAAAACAGACUUCCUUUCCAGUACUUUGAGGCUCAGGAGGGAGUGUAAAGCAGAGGAGACACCUCUUUUUCUUCAUCACUGAUGUUUGAAUAAGGCAGAAAGACAGUGGUUGUCAUUAAAGGCUCCCAUAGGCCAGGUUAUUGCCUUUGAGAACAAGCAGUAGGCAGGUUAGAUGUAAUAAAGUGGAACAAAUGUAUUUCAGUCUUCAAUUAGAAUAAGUCGCUGUCUAGAGUUGCUCUGUCAUCUCCCCAUUUUAUGGAUGUUUUGUUUUGCUGUGUCAGCAGAUAUUCCAUUGAGUUAUGAGCAAUAAGAUGAGCACUGUAUUCGCUGGCUAACCUCAUUGAAGGCUCCUUACGCCUAAUUGGCAGCAAUCUAGGCCUGUCAAAUUAAAUAUAAUCCCUUCACCGCUGGUUUAAGCUUCCCUCUAUGGCUCCAAAUGCCUUUACUGAAUGACAUGGGAUGCUAAUAUUGUGAGUAAUGGAGAACACUAAUGGAAUUGGCAUUAGGUAAUACAUUUGAAUAGCUCGACCAGAAAUAGCUGUUCAGUGUCUGAGCCAAGUGUAUUGAUACUGUAGCUCAGUGUGACAGUAAAGGUGUUGACGUUCAUUUUUCAUCCGCUUGAAAAACUCAAUAUGCUUUAUAAUCAAUUUUAAUACAGUUACCGUUUAUGUCUAUAUAAUGUGUUUCUAUAUGUGCUGUUACUGUACAUAUAUACUGAGCAUGUAUUUAGUCCUGGUGGUUUUAAAAUGUUAAGAUAAGCAAGCUGUAAAAACUAAGGGUGUUUAAAUAUUUAGUGACUGUUCUUUCCCCAUUUGGUAUCUUUUGUUUGAUAACAUGAUAGUGGUAUUCCAAUCAGCAUUAGUACAAUUGGUAAUCCUGUGAUGAAUUAUUAAUGUGGCACUACAGUAACAUAGCCUCGCGUCUGUGUAAUAGUCAUAUUUGACAUUGUUGCAGAGAUGUAUAAUCAGUGAAAUUGUGCUACUUCUUUGUAAUUUUCUGAAGGCUGUAGAGCCGGGGUACGUAUUGAUAUGCAAACAUGCCAUUAGAGGCAUAUCUGCGUUGAUUUAUGGCUAAACGUCAGCGUGGAAAUCAGGCUCGUUUCCAAUUUGCGGAGCUUGAUUAAACGAUGUAUAGGAACAACUUUAUAAACCCGAUGAAAACGCUGCACUUCGAUGGUAGGGUAUGAAACUGUGAGCCUUUGAGUUCAGCAGCUGCUGUUUAUCCUGACCGGUACUUAUUGAUCCACUGCAAGAAACAGUCCCCCGACAAAUUCUCUAUUUGCUCCUAUUUCAGUAAUGUUUGCUGAAACCUUCAGUGCGCAGCUGUUUGUGUCUUUGUAGGCAUGAAUGAGCGCGGGUUGAGUGCCACAGCGCAGGGAUCAGCAGCCCAUUAUUGCUUUCUUUGCUUAGAUUAAGAAGUACCUUGAGCUGAGUGACUUAUCCUCUUAUAAAAUGUUAAAGAAAUCACCAGAGCCAAGUUAUAGUUUGAAAUUUUUUAUUUAUCUUUUUUUUUUCUUUUUGCUUUACGAAACAAAUGUUUGCAGAUGUCCUAUGAAUAAACAACAGCACCCAUUCUCCAAAACAGCAGAGGCCAGAGUUACCUCCGUCUAGAAACGAGACCCUUCUUGUCCAAUUCCAACCUCUCCAGAUUCCCAAAGUGACUUUUAUUCCUGUAUUUGACAUUCAUUUAAGUGCAUUAGUAGACAACGUCACCUUUUCCAUUAAUGUGCAAUAGCUGAGUAUGGUCAAUGCGUAAAAGAUAUUUACAUGACAGCUAUGACUCACAUUAACGCUUCCAUGCUUUUCAUCACUUGAGCUUGUGUCAGAACUGGAGAGGGAGACAAUCACAACACAAGGAGUCUCCUUUCAAGCACAGCCUUCAUAAACAGCAACCAUCAUCAUCAUCAUCAGGAUUAACUAGACUCUUUUGUCGUACCUGUUUUCCUCCAGUAAGACAAAAAGGUUAAUAGAUAGAAUGGUUUAAAAUAAAGUUUAGUGAUUGUGCUUUUAAAACCAAAGUAAAACAAAUAACAAACAUUGACGACAACACGAAUCAUAACAGUGCAUUACAAAAAAAACCAAAAAAUAAAAGGCGGAGAAAAAGAAAAAUCCCAAAGUGGCACUUUCUUGGGGCAACUAAAUAAUAUUGCAAUUUACAACAUGGAUGGAAAUGAUAAAAUAAUUAUAUUUACUGGCAUAAUAAAAUUAGAAUUUGCGAAAUAGGACAAGGAAGACAAAUUUUGAGGUACCACAACGGGUAAAACAAGAGAGCAUCAUGUAUACACGUAUAUUUACAGACAGUCCACCCUCUGUUCUUGCAGCUAGUUUAUUACAGUAACAUCUGACUGUACGGGCUCUAAAGAUCUUGUCAAGACAAGCCGAGUCGCAUCAAUGUCUGGAGUAGGAUUUCCCUCCAUAUUGCAUUGGAAUUAAACAUAAAUAUACUAGUGUGUGUUUAGUUUUGAAUGCACCAUUCUUUUAUCUUCAGACGCUAUCCUUUUUUUCCCGAACAAACAUAGAAAAUGAAUAGUUAAAAGAAACUGUUUGUUUUCCAGAUGUAAAGAAACACUUGAAGUACAUAUGAUGGCAGCCAAACAUGACGGUGAAAUACCGAGAUAUUUAAAACAGCAAUGGUGCUCCACUCUUGGAAAAAAUCAGAACAGUUUCUCCAUGUCCUCUGCUGUUCUUCAGCUUUCAACCAUCUGAGCAAGGGAAACACAAAAACAAGCACUUUGUCUUACACAUUCAUCAAUCUAUUCAUGCCAAUAUAUACACAUCGCUCUCUAAUGUAAAAACGAUGUCAUGUGACAUCUAUCUUCACUGACGAUUUUCUCUUAGGGUUGUCAAUGAUUUAUCAAUUAAUCAUAAGUCAACUGAUUACUAAUUGAAUACCCAAGGGUGCAGAAGAGGAUGCACCGAUGUGUACAGUAUUUAGACGUCCAAUAACCUUGAGGCCUUUGCUUAAACUGUUCUGUGGGUGCUGUUCUUAUGUGCUGUGUUUACCUCUAGUUCUUCAUCUCCAUGUUGAAAGGCUCCAGUGGUGUUGAGGCCCAUGUCGGCAGGAUUUCUACGACCUCCUUCUCCUCUCCGCCGGCCACCUGAUCCUCUGGAGGACAUGGAGCUAGAGGAGCUUGGGUCCCGGGGGCUAUUCACUGUGGGGAACUGUGGUCGGCUGUAGGGCAGAAUGUCCUCUGCACCUUGGGAUAGACAACAGUUCCACAGUUGGGGCAUGAAGAGUGGAGAUGGAGGAAGAGAUCGGGGGAGGAAAGCAGGCAAUAACCUCCAAACGUAAAACAAUCCAUUCAGAUCAAAUGCAAUCAGUAGGAGAAGUGAUGGACGGACAGAGCUGACAGUCACACCCCCUCCAGCUCAAACAAAAACAGAGGGGAGAGAAGCUUUGGAGAAGACGAAGGCUGAAGAGGGAUGGAGAGAUAACUGCAAAGGGAGGGGCGGCGGAUUGUGAAGAAGCCAGGAUGACGGCAGAAGGCGGCCGCUCGUAGCGGGGUGGGGGUGCGGGAUUUUCUGCAGUGAUAUGGCUGGUCUAGCUCCCAGUGAGCGGGAUAUUAAAUGUCCCUGUCUAGUGCUUCAAACACUCAAGGACACCUGACACUAAGAGGAGCACCGGCUCCGAGACAGCACAGAGUGAGCACGAGCGCAAACACAAAAAAAGAGGAAACAAAUGAGAAAAGCGGUUUUUAAACACAAAGGCAAUGUUGUAAAGAAUGAUGCCGUAGGAAGUCAAUUGGUCUUUUACUUAACAAGGUUAACGCUUCUCUUUGGUGUGCAGCUGCUCUGGUAUUUAGCCUCUGUUUGGUUUAUGUUUGGCCCCUGCCAAGGAAAAGGUGGCACUUCAGCGUGAGCCAGAGCACCUGGAUCAAUUUCAUUAGUGGCUAGAGUGGAGAGACAUCCCAGUGUCAGCGCAGCCAAGCUCGGCACAAGUCCCCUGAGACGACUCCUCCCUCUCCCUCCUCCCCCCUGGCCUCCUGCCCAAUGCUAUCCACAGAUGAGGAGUGAUGCCAUGUAUGUAUGCGCAUAAACACCAGAGAUGGUGAUUAAUACAUUCUGAGUCAUUUACAGACACUAUGUCACAGUAAACUGUGUUUUUCAUCUUUUUCCUUCUGGCAUCUAGGUCUGUAUUAAGCUGCCCUUUACUGUAGAUUCCUGAAUUGAAACCCAUGAAGACUGUGUACUGAGAUGAAACGUACUGUACCU